rnacentral:rRNA from 1 species
UGAGCAAUCUGCCCUUCUCUUCGGAAUAAGCGUUGGAAACGACGUCUAAUACCGAAUACGACCUCCUUUCGCAUGAUCGGAGGUGGAAAGCUCCGGCGGAGAAGGAUGAGCUCGCGGCCUAUCAGCUAGUUGGUGUGGGUAAUGGCCCACAAGGCGACGACGGGUAGCCGGCCUGAGGAGGGUGACCGGCCACACGUGGGACUGAGACACGGCCCAGACCUCCGUACGGGGAGG